rnacentral:rRNA from 1 species
GACGAACGCUGGCGGCGUGCCUAAUACAUGCAAGUAGAACGCACAGUUUAUACCGUAGCUUGCUACACCAUAGACUGUGAGUUGCGAACGGGUGAGUAACGCGUAGGUAACCUGCCUGGUAGCGGGGGAUAACUAUUGGAAACGAUAGCUAAUACCGCAUAAUAUUAAUUAUUGCAUGAUAAUUAAUUGAAAGGUGCAAUUGCACCACUACCAGAUGGACCUGCGUUGUAUUAGCUAGUAGGUGAGGUAACGGCUCACCUAGGCGACGAUACAUAGCCGACCUGAAAGGGGGAUCGGCCAAACUGGGAAUGAGACACGGCCCAGACUCCUACGGGAGGCAGCAGUAGGGAAUCUUCGGCAAUGGACGGAAGUCUGACCGAGCAACGCCGCGUGAGUGAAGAAGGUUUUCGGAUCGUAAAGCUCUGUUGUAAGAGAAGAACGGGUGUGAGAGUGGAAAGUUCACACUGUGACGGUAUCUGACCAGAAAGGGACGGCUAACUACGUG